UAGAGUUUGAUCCUGGCUCAGAUUGAACGCUGGCGGCAGGCCUAACACAUGCAAGUCGAGCGGAUGAAGAGAGCUUGCUCUCUGAUUCAGCGGCGGACGGGUGAGUAAUGCCUAGGAAUCUGCCUGGUAGUGGGGGACAACGUCUCGAAAGGGACGCUAAUACCGCAUACGUCCUACGGGAGAAAGCAGGGGACCUUCGGGCCUUGCGCUAUCAGAUGAGCCUAGGUCGGAUUAGCUAGUUGGUGAGGUAAUGGCUCACCAAGGCGACGAUCCGUAACUGGUCUGAGAGGAUGAUCAGUCACACUGGAACUGAGACACGGUCCAGACUCCUACGGGAGGCAGCAGUGGGGAAUAUUGGACAAUGGGCGAAAGCCUGAUCCAGCCAUGCCGCGUGUGUGAAGAAGGUCUUCGGAUUGUAAAGCACUUUAAGUUGGGAGGAAGGGCAGUAAAUUAAUACUUUGCUGUUUUGACGUUACCGACAGAAUAAGCACCGGCUAACUCUGUGCCAGCAGCCGCGGUAAUACAGAGGGUGCAAGCGUUAAUCGGAAUUACUGGGCGUAAAGCGCGCGUAGGUGGUUUGUUAAGUUGGAUGUGAAAUCCCCGGGCUCAACCUGGGAACUGCAUUCAAAACUGACAAGCUAGAGUAUGGUAGAGGGUGGUGGAAUUUCCUGUGUAGCGGGAAAUGCGUAGAUAUAGGAAGGAACACCAGGGCGAAGGCGACCACCGGACGAUACGACACGAGGGGAAAGAGGGAGGGGGUUUU
rnacentral:rRNA from 1 species